GCCAGGCAUGGUGAUGCAUACCUGUAGUCUCAGCUACUUGGGAGGCUGAGGUGGGAGGAUCACUUGAGCCCAGGCAAUUGAGGCUGCAGUGAGCCAAGACAGUGCCACUGCACUCCAGCCUGGGCGACAGAGCAAGACCCCAUCUCUA
rnacentral:SRP_RNA from 1 species